rnacentral:rRNA from 1 species
UGCUGGAGGUAUCAGAAGUGCGAAUGCUGACAUAAGUAACGAUAAAGCGGGUAAAAACCCCGCUCGCCGGAAGACCAAGGGUUCCUGUCCAACGUUAAUCGGGGCAGGGUGAGUCGACCCCUAAGGCGAGGCCGAAAGGCGUAGUCGAUGGGAAACGGGUUAAUAUUCCCGUACUUGGUGUUACUGCGAAGGGGGGACGGAGAAGGCUAUGUUGGCCGGGCGACGGUUGUCCCGGUUUAAGCGUGUAGGUGUGUGUUCCAGGUAAAUCCGGUUCACUUUAACACUGAGGCGUGACGACGAGGCACUACGGUGCUGAAGCAACAAAUGCCCUGCUUCCAGGAAAAGCCUCUAAGCAUCAGGUAACACGAAAUCGUACCCCAAACCGACACAGGUGGUCAGGUAGAGAAUACCAAGGCGCUUGAGAGAACUCGGGUGAAGGAACUAGGCAAAAUGGUGCCGUAACUUCGGGAGAAGGCACGCUGACACGUAGGUGAAGUGAUUUACUCAUGGAGCUGAAGUCAGUCGAAGAUACCAGCUGGCUGCAACUGUUUAUUAAAAACACAGCACUGUGCAAACACGAAAGUGGACGUAUACGGUGUGACGCCUGCCCGGUGCCGGAAGGUUAAUUGAUGGGGUCAGCGUAAGCGAAGCUCCUGAUCGAAGCCCCGGUAAACGGCGGCCGUAACUAUAACGGUCCUAAGGUAGCGAAAUUCCUUGUCGGGUAAGUUCCGACCUGCACGAAUGGCGUAAUGAUGGCCAGGCUGUCUCCACCCGAGACUCAGUGAAAUUGAACUCGCUGUGAAGAUGCAGUGUACCCGCGGCAAGACGGAAAGACCCCGUGAACCUUUACUAUAGCUUGACACUGAACAUUGAGCCUUGAUGUGUAGGAUAGGUGGGAGGCUUUGAAGUGUGGACGCCAGUCUGCAUGGAGCCGACCUUGAAAUACCACCCUUUAAUGUUUGAUGUUCUAACGUGGACCCGUAAUCCGGGUUGCGGACAGUGUCUGGUGGGUAGUUUGACUGGGGCGGUCUCCUCCUAAAGAGUAACGGAGGAGCACGAAGGUUGGCUAAUCCUGGUCGGACAUCAGGAGGUUAGUGCAAUGGCAUAAGCCAGCUUGACUGCGAGCGUGACGGCGCGAGCAGGUGCGAAAGCAGGUCAUAGUGAUCCGGUGGUUCUGAAUGGAAGGGCCAUCGCUCAACGGAUAAAAGGUACUCCGGGGAUAACAGGCUGAUACCGCCCAAGAGUUCAUAUCGACGGCGGUGUUUGGCACCUCGAUGUCGGCUCAUCACAUCCUGGGGCUGAAGUAGGUCCCAAGGGUAUGGCUGUUCGCCAUUUAAAGUGGUACGCGAGCUGGGUUUAGAACGUCGUGAGACAGUUCGGUCCCUAUCUGCCGUGGGCGCUGGAGAACUGAGGGGGGCUGCUCCUAGUACGAGAGGACCGGAGUGGACGCAUCACUGGUGUUCGGGUUGUCAUGCCAAUGGCACUGCCCGGUAGCUAAAUGCGGAAGAGAUAAGUGCUGAAAGCAUCUAAGCACGAAACUUGCCCCGAGAUGAGUUCUCCCUGAGACUUAGAGUCUCCUGAAGGAACGUUGAAGACGACGACGUUGAUAGGCCGGGUGUGUAAGCGCAGCGAUGCGUUGAGCUAACCGGUACUAAUGAACCGUGAGGCUUAACCUU